rnacentral:rRNA from 1 species
UACGUAGGGUGCAAGCGUUAAUCGGAAUUACUGGGCGUAAAGCGUGCGCAGGCGGUUAUGCAAGACAGAUGUGAAAUCCCCGGGCUUAACCUGGGAACUGCAUUUGUGACUGCAUAGCUGGAGUGCGGCAGAGGGGGAUGGAAUUCCGCGUGUAGCAGUGAAAUGCGUAGAUAUGCGGAGGAACACCGAUGGCGAAGGCAGCCUUCUGGGCCAACACUGACGCUCAUGCACGAAAGCGUGGGGAGCAAACAGG